GAUGAACGCUGGCGGCGUGCCUAACACAUGCAAGUCGAGCGAACAGACGAGGAGCUUUCUCCUUUGACGUUAUCGGCGGACGGGUGAGUAAUACUUAGGUAACCUACCUCUAAGACUUUGUUAACUUCGGGAAACCGGAGCUACUACUGGAUAAUAUUUCGAACCUCUUGCUUCGAUAGUGUAAGAUGGCUUUUCUAUCACUUAUAGAUGGACCUGCGCCGUAUUAGCUAGUUGGUAAGGUAACGGCUUACCAAGGCAGCGAUACGUAGCCGACCUGAGAGGGUGGUCGGCCACACUGGAAGUGAGAAACGGUAGAGACUCCUACGGGGGGCAGCAGUAGGGAAUCUUCCGGGAUGGGGGAAAGCCGGACGGAGCAACGCCGCGGAAGGAAUGAAGGACUUCGGAUGGUAGAACGCUGUUAUUAGGAGAGAAGAAACGUGUAAGUAACUGUGCACGUCUUGACGGUACCUAAUCAAGAAGCCACGGCUAACUACGUG
rnacentral:rRNA from 1 species